rnacentral:rRNA from 1 species
AAUCAACGCUGGCGGCGUGCCUCAGACAUGCAAGUCGAACGAUUAGACUUCCCUUCGGGGAAGAUAUAAAGUGGCGCACGGGUGAGUAACACGUAAGUAAUCUACCUUCGAGUGGGGAAUAACAUCGGGAAACCGAUGCUAAUACCGCAUAACGCAGCGGCACCUAAUGGUGACAGUUGUUAAAGGAGCAAUUCGCUUGAAGAGGAGCUUGCGGCAGAUUAGCUAGUUGGUAAGGUAAUGGCUUACCAAGGCUUCGAUCUGUAUCCGGUCUAAGAGGACGGUCGGACACACUGACACUGAAUAACGGGUCAGACUCCUACGGGAGGCAGCAGUCGGGAAUUUUGGGCAAUGGGCGAAAGCCUGACCCAGCAACGCCGCGUGAAGGAUGAAGUAUUUCGGUAUGUAAACUUCGAAAGAAUGGGAAGAACUCAAUGACGGUACCAUUUAUAAGCUCCGGCUAACUACGUGCCAGCAGCCGCGGUAACAC